rnacentral:lncRNA from 1 species
AGUGAACCAGCUCUUGCUCCUGCGGAUUUCUUUGCUCCUCUUGCCCCGCUGCCAAUCCCUUCUAACUUAUUUGUACCAAACCCAGGUAUGCAGCUCAUGCGUUAGCCCUGCUUCUUGAUCCAUUUCCAUCCAUGAUCCUCUGGCCCUCGUCUUCUUAGAAGAAUAACUGGGCCAAAGUGCAGAGGACCGAAGGCUUGUAUAUACGUCUUUGGCAAUUGGACUUUCCUCCCUGAGGGUCAGUGGUUGAACCCUGCCAUGUGGACUGUUACACAGAAUGUCCCAGAGAUUGGGCCGGCGUGAUGACUUGAUGCUCCCUCAUUCACAGAUGCAGAAGAGUCACAACCUGCAGAUGGGACUGGCUGUAGGGGACAGGCACCAGCUGGGACUCAAUCUAAGGCAGAGCCCACCCUGGAAGCCAAGGUGGUAAGCUCUACAGUAUCAGCCCCUGGGCCUGAACUCUCACCCUCCAAACCAGCAGAUGGCUCCCAGGGAGGAGAGCUCUCGCGCUGUAGCUCUCUGAGCUCGCUCUCACAGGAAGUGAGCCGGCAUUUCCAUCAGGCUCCUGGAGACCACUGUCCUGCAGGGGCCACUCCUGGUGGGUCUGUGCCCUUUUACAACCCUGCGCAGUUGGUGCAGGCGUCUGUCACCUCGGGGACUUCAAGGCCAGGAAGGAUUGGCCAAAGAAAAUAUGCGGCACUGAACUAGGAUUGCUGCUGGAUUCUUACUUGGCACCCUGAGAG